GAUGAAGAACGUAGCGAAAUGCGAUAAGUAAUGUGAAUUGCGGAAUUCAGUGAAUCAUCGAAUCUUUGAACGCACAUUGCGCCCCCUGGUAUUCCGGGGGGCAUGCCUGUUCGAGCGUCAUUUCACCACUCAAGCCUCGCUUGGUAUUGGGCAACGCGGUCCGCCGCGUGCCUCAAAUCGACCGGCUGGGUCUUCUGUCCCCUAAGCGUUGUGGAAACUUUCGCUAAAGGGUGUUCGGGAGGCUACGCCGUAAAACAACCCCAUUUCUAAGGUUGACCUCGGAUCAGGUAGGGAUACCCGCUGAACUUAAGCAUAUCAAUAAGCGGAGGA
rnacentral:misc_RNA from 1 species